rnacentral:rRNA from 1 species
UGCCCUAGUAACGGCGAGUGAAGCGGCAACAGCUCAAAUUUGAAAGCUAGCCUUCGGGUUCGCAUUGUAAUUUGUAGAGGAUGAUUUGGGGAAGCCGCCUGUCUAAGUUCCUUGGAACAGGACGUCAUAGAGGGUGAGAAUCCCGUAUGUGACAGGAAAUGGCACCCUAUGUAAAUCUCCUUCGACGAGUCGAGUUGUUUGGGAAUGCAGCUCUAAAUGGGAGGUAAAUUUCUUCUAAAGCUAAAUAUUGGCGAGAGACCGAUAGCGCACAAGUAGAGUGAUCGAAAGAUGAAAAGCACUUUGGAAAGAGAGUUAAAAAGCACGUGAAAUUGUUGAAAGGGAAGCGCUUGCAAUCAGACUUGUUUAAACUGUUCGGCCGGUCUUCUGACCGGUUUACUCAGUUUGGACAGGCCAGCAUCAGUUUCGGCGGCCGGAUAAAGGCUCUGGGAAUGUGGCCUCCACUUCGGUGGAGGUGUUAUAGCCCAGGGUGUAAUACGGCCAGCCGGGACUGAGGUCCGCGCUUCGGCUAGGAUGCUGGC